rnacentral:misc_RNA from 1 species
GAUGAAGAACGUAGCAAAAUGCGAUAAGUAAUGUGAAUUGCAGAAUUCAGUGAGUCAUCGAAUCUUUGAACGCACAUUGCGCCCUGUGGUAUUCCGCAGGGCAUGCCUGUUCGAGCGUCAUUUCAACCCUCAAGCUCUGCUUGGUGUUGGGCCCUGCCCGCUGCGGCCGGCCCUAAAGACAGUGGCGGUGCCGCCUGGCCCUGAGCGUAGUACAUCUCUCGCUCCAGUGCCCGGUGGUAGCCUGCCAGAACCCCAACUCUCGUGGUUGACCUCGGAUCAGGUAGGGAUACCCGCUGAACUUAAGCAUAUCAAUAAGCGGAGGA